rnacentral:rRNA from 1 species
GAUCAUGGACGUCAGGAUUAACGCUGGCGGCGUGCCUAAUACAUGCAAGUCGAAUGGUAGCAAUACCAUGGCGAACGGGUGAGUAACACGUAGGUAACCUGUCUUUAAGACGAGGGAUAACCGUUGGAAACGACGGAUAAUACUCGAUAGGUGAUUUGAGGGCAUCCUUGGAUCAUUAAAGAUUUAUCACUUAGAGAGGGGCCUGCGGCGCAUUAGCUAGAUGGCGGUGUAAUGGACCACCAUGGCGAUGAUGCGUAGCCGGACUGAGAGGUUGAACGGCCACAAUGGAACUGAGAACGGUCCAUACUCCUACGGGAGGCAGCAGUAGGGAAUUUUCGGCAAUGGGCGAAAGCCUGACCGAAGCAACGCCGCGUGAACGAAGAAGUAUUUCGGUAUGUAAAGUUCUUUUAUCGGGGAAGAAAAUAUUCAAAUUGACGGUACCUGAUGAAUAAGCUCCGGCUAACUACGUGCCAGCAGCGGC